UAGGGUCAGGUGUUGUUAUGGCAGGGGCUAGGGUCAGGUGUGUUAUUAGUGGGAGGGACUAGGGUCAGGUGUGUUAUUAGUGGGAGGGACUAGGGCCAGGUGUGUGGGGGUUGUGGGAGGGGCCAGGGUCAGGUGUAUUAUUAGUGGGAGGGGCUAGGGUCAGGUGUGUGGGGGUUGUGGGAGGGGCUAGGCUGGUCCUUGCUGAUGGCGUAGUAGAGCUCCAGAGGUUUUCGGAUCUUCCAGUACUUCUCGUUGACCAACUCCAGCGUCAGAGAGCCAUUCAGAGUCUGGACACACACACACACACACACACACACACACACACACACACACACACACACACACACACACACACACACACACACACACACACACACACACACACACACACACACACAGUUAAUCACACA